rnacentral:misc_RNA from 1 species
UUGCAGAGCAAAGCUCUGCGAUUGUGCGGUAUGUUGUUGUUCACUCAAUCCUUGUGAACUUGAACGGAACCAGAGAAGAAACUUGCCACUUGCAAGGCAAUUUUAUCAAGCAAUUGUUUUGCCAGUCAAAUGUUGCAGAACCUGAAUCAAAGUUGUUAGAAUUGUUGAUUUGUAGAUUAAGAAUGUUCCUUUUCGAAUCUGAUGAAAUUUAUGAACUCAUCCAAAG